rnacentral:rRNA from 1 species
UACGAAGGGUGCAAGCGUUACUCGGAAUUACUGGGCGUAAAGGGUGUGUAGGUGGUUUGUUAAGUCUGCUGUGAAAUCCCCGGGCUCAACCUGGGAAUGGCAGUGGAUACUGGCAAGCUAGAGUGCGGUAGAGGGUAGUGGAAUUCCCGGUGUAGCAGUGAAAUGCGUAGAGAUCGGGAGGAACACCAGUGGCGAAGGCGGCUACCUGGACCAGCACUGACACUGAAGCACGAAAGCGUGGGGAGCAAACAGG